GUAUAGGGGAGCCGCAGGGAAACCGAGUCUUAACCGGGCGUUAAGUUGCAGGGUAUAGACCCGAAACCCGGUGAUCUAGCCAUGGGCAGGUUGAAGGUUGGGUAACACUAACUGGAGGACCGAACCGACUAAUGUUGAAAAAUUAGCGGAUGACCUGUGGCUGGGGGUGAAAGGCCAAUCAAACCGGGAGAUAGCUGGUUCUCCCCGAAAGCUAUUUAGGUAGCGCCUCGUGAAUUCAUCUCCGGGGGUAGAGCACUGUUUCGGCUAGGGGGCCAUCCCGGCUUACCAACCCGAUGCAAACUGCGAAUACCGGAGAAUGUUAUCACGGGAGACACACGGCGGGUGCUAACGUCCGUCGUGAAGAGGGAAACAACCCAGACCGCCAGCUAAGGUCCCAAAGUCAUGGUUAAGUGGGAAACGAUGUGGGAAGGCCCAGACAGCCAGGAUGUUGGCUUAGAAGCAGCCAUCAUUUAAAGAAAGCGUAAUAGCUCACUGGUCGAGUCGGCCUGCGCGGAAGAUGUAACGGGGCUAAACCAUGCACCGAAGCUGCGGCAGCGACGCUGAUGCGUUGUUGGGUAGGGGAGCGUUCUGUAAGCCGUUGAAGGUGGCCUGUG
rnacentral:rRNA from 1 species